rnacentral:tRNA from 1 species
GCUCGUUUGGCUCAGCUGGCAGUAGCGUGGGGCUGUUAACCUCAAGGUCACUGGUUCGAUCCCAGUAUCGAGCG